rnacentral:rRNA from 1 species
AUUGAACGCUGGCGGCAGGCCUAACACAUGCAAGUCGAACGAGUGGCGGACGGGUGAGUAAUGUCUGGGAAACUGCCUGACGGAGGGGGAUAACUACUGGAAACGGUAGCUAAUACCGCAUACCAUCUGAUGUGCCCAGAUGGGAUUAGCUAGUAAGUGGGGUAAAGAUUCACCUAAGCGACGAGCCCUAGCUGGUCUGAGAGGAUGACCAGCCACACUGGAACUGAAACACGGUCCAGACUCCUACGGAAGGCAACAGUAGAGAAUAUUGCACAAUGGGCGAAAGCCUGAUGCAGCCAUGCCGCGUGUAUGAGGAAGGCCUUCGGGUUGUAAAGUACUUUCAGCGGGGAGGCGUUACCCGCAGAGGAAGCACCGGCUAACUCCGUGCCAGCAGCCACGGUAAUAC